rnacentral:rRNA from 1 species
CCUACGGGAGGCAGCAGUGAGGAAUAUUGGUCAAUGGGCGGGAGCCUGAACCAGCCAAGUCGCGUGAGGGAAGACGGUCCUAUGGCUUGUAAACCUCUUUAGUCGGGGAGCAAUGCCGGGCACGCGUGCCCGGCGGGAUAGUCCCCGCAGACUAAGCAUCGGCUAACUCCGUGCCAGCAGCCGCGGUAAUACGGAGGAUGCGAGCGUUAUCCGGAUUUAUUGGGUUUAAAGGGUGCGUAGGCGGCUUUUUAAGUCAGCGGUAAAAUGUCCGGGCUCAACCCGGGCCGGCCGUUGAAACUGGGGAGCUGGAGUGGGCGAGAAGUAGGCGGAAUGCGUGGUGUAGCGGUGAAAUGCAUAGAUAUCACGAAGAACUCCGAUUGCGAAGGCAGCAUACCGGAGCCCGACUGACGCUGAGGCACGAAAGCGUGGGGAUCGAACAGGAUUAGAUACCCCUGUAGUC